UAAUAAUAAUUGUCUUAGCUCUUAGCUGAUUUUAAUGAGUAUACAUCUUGAUUCUUGUUUGAACAUUAACGUCUAUUUAAUUUUAAUUUUAUAACAAUGUAGUAAUAUUGUUCACUAAACUUAUAAUUACAAAUACACUAAUCAUUUUACUUUAUUGUUCAGUGAAAUAAAUUAAUUUUACCAUGUACGAAUUGGUAACGCAAAUAUUAGAAUGCAUAGACUUUAUAUCGAACACCAUGAAGAACGAAUUAGCAGAAAUAUUUGAAACCUGGAAUCAAUGUUCAAGAGUGUUUGCUGGCGUCGUAGAAAAAAUUAAAGUUGCUCGGAGAGCACCGUUAGAUACAGACUUGUUAAAUGAAUUUCCAGACAUCAGGACAAAAGUUGCAACGAAACUUGUUGGAUUAGAAACAGAACAACUUGGUAUCUUGGAAAUAUGUUUGAAACGUUUUUCUCGUAUAAACGAGUGUCUAAAAAAUAAACUGGAUAGAAUCAACAAUAAACUUGAGAAAAUAUCAUUUAAAAAUCACAUGGAACUGAAGCAUACUAUACACGAACAUGCACUAUGGAUAGAAGAUUGCUGGUCAUGUUUUCACGUCUUCUAUAUGCAGUUACAAUUUGCAAUGAUGUCCUUAAAACCUUCGGAUGAAGAAUCUGCAGGAAAGUUAGUCGAAGCUAUAAUACAAAACGAGCAAGAUAAAUACACUAUUGGCAGAGCAAAAAUGUACUUGCACAGCUGGGACAGAUUGAUUUGACAUGGUUAAUAGUUAUUAGUAUCCCACGCUCUGGAAUAUAUUGUUUUAUUAGGACACGAAAAUUACAAUAGGAAACAUCAGUACAAAGUAUGAAACCAUACAGGCGGAAAUAGGGGAGACUUGUAUUUUUUGUAACACUUUAAAGAUAUUUGAUUAAAAAUAUUGUGGACUCAAAAAUACUGUCCAGAAAGGAGCAGAUGACGGAUUCUUUGAAUAAGUCAAAGCCAGAUUUAUAGUUUUAGUAAUACUAUUGUUUGUGAUAUUUAUUUUAAGACAGUAUCAAUAUAAAUAUUAUAACUACAUACAUAAAGUAUUGUAAAUAUAUACUGCUUUUCAUUGUAAUUAGUUUAAGGUUAUUGAUUCUAUUAUAAAGACCCGAUACAUUACAAAUAACAAAUUACAAUUUAUUGUAAUUAGGUACAAAUAAAUCGUGACUGAUUGAAAUAAUAUUUUGACUACACUUGAUAGUGGACUUCUUAAGGGGGCUCCAUACAGACCACUUUUAAGGAAUUUUUGUAAUGGCAAUAUUUAAGAAAAAAAUUAUUUAAUUUAAUUUCGACCAUGUCAAUUAAUUUACCGGUUAAUUUGUAUAAGCUUUAUGGAAUUAUUUUUAAUUAAAAUAAUUUUGUCUAUGAAUAAAAGCCAUUUUAGUUAAUAUAAUAGUACAUUUUUUGUCCAUCGCACAGGCCGAACCAGUAAUCCGAUGAGUAAUCUGAAAACAGAUUUGAAUUUGUCAUGAACUUUACUUGAGAUCAGCCGAGGUACUUUUUUGAUAUCAAAUUCCUACAACGUAUAAAACACGUUUGAAUAUUUUUGUUAAAUUUCAAAUUGGGAAAGGGUUAAAAUGAAAAAUUGAAAAAAGUUCCUCGGCCGAUCUCAAGUAAACUUUAUGGCAAAUUCAAAUCUGUUUUUAGAUUGCUUAUCGGAUCACUGGUUCGGCCUGUGCGAUGGACAAAAAAUGAUGUGUUUUGACUGAAAAAAGGUCUGUAUGGAGCCCCCUUAAAAUCAAAUUUUUAAAAAACAAAAAAAGAUAUUACCAUUUUUAUUUUUUAUAGUGAUCAAUUUAAAUUAAUUAAAUUGUUUAAAAUGAAAUAUAAAAUAUUCCAUGAGAAAUUUAGUUUUAAAAACAAAACUAAAAUAAUACAUUUUAACUAUUUUUAACAAACUAUGCUACUUUAAUGUUUUUUUU